GAGCCGAAAUCGCGCCACGGCUCGAUAUCUAGGAAUGCGAAUUUGUCGUUGUAAAUCUCUUGAGAGUUGUUCUCUUGAGAUCAUUUAAAUAGAAGAGGAAAGAAUAAUUCUCUUGAAAGCAACCCUCGAGAAGUUUAACAAACUGAAAAAUAUUCGCAUCCUAACCUUAUCUUACCUUGUCUUACCUUACACGUUGAAAUACUAGGUUCGACUUUACGAUAUUAUACGAUAUUCGUCGAGUUUUCAGUCGCGAGAAUCGCGGGUACGUCUAAUGAGGGUGAUUCUUCUCGAAAUUAUAUACAUUAUAGGGAGGACGAAUUUUUCGGAAACUACGAAUAAUACCUUAAUACCUCAAGUUAUUAUUAAAUUAUUGGAAACACUGUGUGCUUUUUAUCGUCCAUCGUCGGUUGUGUAGUAGUAGGAAAUUUUAGUAAAGGAGGAUUCUCGGUGAUCGUGCCCGCGGAGCCGCGCGCGUUUUUUCUCGUUUUCCAGCCCGGGUUAUUUUCAGGCGCAGAGACGUGGAAAGAGGGGUGUGAAUGGGGGAGCGGAACGAAAGAGAACGAGAGAGCGAAAGACGUGCAAGUAUAGCGUUGCGAGCGCACCGAGAAUGGUAGACAGAGUGCGAGGGAAGAAAGGGUUGCAUGUUAAACUGAAAAAAAAAUAAAAUAAAAUAAAUGAAAAUAAUAAGAGAAAGAAGAAGAAGAAGAAGAAUUUAACCGAAUCGCGCCACUUGUGCAUCGACAAAAUACGCGACUUUAUCCAAAAGACGUACAAAGUGAGAAAGAGAAGAGUGAAUGAGAGGGCUGCCAAAAGAGGAUUAUAAAGAGAGAGAGAGACGUGUAUGAUGCCAUUGAACACGAACGUGGAACCGGAAGGGGAAAUCAAGUGGAGAAAGAUGCUGGAAGAGAGAGAGAGAGAGAAAGAGAGAGAGAGAGAGAGAGAGAGAGAGAGAGAGAGAUAUGAUUGGUUGCAUUGGUAAUCCUUCCCAGUGGAAAAGAAAAAGAAAAAAGAAAAAUCCUUUCGGUUUCGCGUGUGUCGAGUCCCGAUUAAGUUUGACAGAUUAUAAAUCUCACUCCCUCCCUUUUUGCAAACGCUGAUUCAGAGGCCACUGUUUUUUCCACGCCCACACGAUGACGAAGAGAGCGAGAGAGCGAGAGAGUGAGAGAGAUAGAGAGAAAGAAAGAGAGAGUAUUAGAGAAAAUGAAGAAAAAAGAAGAAGAAGAAGAAGAAGAGGAAGAAAAGAGAUUGAUUAUUUCCUUGUGAAGAAUCUCCUUGUAAUUUGAUGCGUGUAAUUUAAAAUGUACAUUGCCGAAAAAGAGAAAAAAAAGAAAAAAAAAAAAGAAAAAAAAUAUGGUGUUGUUAUAAUAUCUGAAACGUGUUACGAACGACGAAGAAAUUUUAUCAAAGUGCGCUACUGGAGAGCGAUUUUGUUUUUUCUCGCGGACGGCGUUUACGUUGAUCCUGUUUCGCGCGCCUUGUCUCUCGACAUUAUUUAAUUAUCCUACCGUUGAUCCUUACGAGAAGAGAAAGUUUAUUAAUCGAGCGAGCAAAGUAGAUUCGAGUUAAAGAGGGAGAAGGGAUUGGAGAACAAAUAGAAAAAAAUAAAAUAAAACAAAAUAAAAUAAAAAUUGAGGGAAAGAGAAGAUAUUAUAAGAUCGAGUGUAAAGUUUUUACUUUUGAAAAAAGGAAAAAAGUGAAUUUAGAAGAGAAAACCUCCCCCCCUCUUUUGCCCAGUCACGGAUGUGUGAAGAAGUAAUUAUUAUUAUCGUCCCCGGUGAAAAGAGAAAGGAAAAGAAAUGGAAAUGGAAAUAUAAGUUAUAUUCGGCGUGUUUUUUAGAGAAAAAAAGAUUUUUAUAUCGAGGUUGAUCGGGAGGCAAGGCUGACGAUCGCCGACCACGCAAAUAGUACACACACCGGCUGUCUUUCACACUCCAACAAGGAACCGGGCUCCCAGUUAAUCGAGCAGGAUCUACGAUUUUAUCAAGAACGAGACGAGGUGUCGUUUCAGAUAUAAGGGUGCAAAGUGUAUAUAUCGGUGCCAAAUCGCGUUGAAAGGGCGUUUGCUGUUGAAAAAAAUAUCGUAAAAAAUAUCAGUCUUUUUAAAGCUUCUACGAAUUUCUCGAAUUUACAAAGUCGAAAUUUGCUCAACUACAAGAGAGAAAGAGAAAGAGAGAGAAAUAAUAUCGAGCAUUUUAUUCUCUUUGGCCUUGUAUAUCAAGAAUAUAUCAAGAAUAAUUUCUAAGAGGAAUCUAUGAAUAUGAAUCUAUGAAUAUCAGGAAUAAAAAAAAAAAAAACGAGAUACGAGACACCUUGCAAGUUCACGAAUCCUGGGAGCCUGACCGUAAUCGAAUCGAUUGGGGAUAAGUUGGCUAAGGUACAAAUGUACAUAGGAACAUAAUGUUGUUAUUUAACCUGUAACACCUGUUCUCGUUUCGCUGCCUCUCGUGUUUCAAAUUGAAUAGAAAAAAAAGGAAAAGAGAAAAAUUACACCAAUAUAUCAGAGAGAUAGAGGGGACAGAGAGGAAGAAAUAUAUCAAAGAUAUAAUAAGAUAAAAAGAAGAAAAGAGAGGAAUAAUCUGAAAAAUCGAAGGCGCAAAAAAGUUUGGACGAAUUCAAAAGUUUAUUGGAAGGACGAGAGGAAGCGGGGACGGAUGAUUGCAAAACAGAGAAAAGAGAUAGAAACGAGCGAGGGAAGAAGUGGAUAAAGCGAGUCGAUAUUCGCAGACGGAGGAUCGAUAAGUUAAUCGACGUUAUAGCUGCGCGUAGACAAUUGGUUCACGGCUCUUUCCACCUACGUUCGGUUCGUCGUCGUCGUCCUCGUUGACCCCUCCCGCCCUCCGUUUCGAUUUAUACUCUUUCACCCCUAUCUAUCGUUUUAUUUCUCCACCAUCGCUUGGAUGGCCCGGUUUUUACGAGCCGUGAUCCAAUCGAUCGAACGCUUCAGAAGAAGAGAAAGAGAGAAAGAGAGAGAGAUAGUGGAUGAGUUGAAGCGAGAGAAGAAUUCUAUAGAGAACGAAAGUUUAGAGGAAAAGUGUAUGGG